GUGAAUCAUCGAAUCUUUGAACGCACAUUGCGCCUCCUGUUACAGGGAGGCAUGCCUGUCUGAGCGUCUUUCAAACCAUAGGCUUAUUAGGGUCUGUGUUGAGCUUCGCCGUUUGGCGUUGUUUAAAAGGAAUUGCCUUAGAGCGGGUGAGAUCCAUUAGGACUGGCCGCUUUGGAGUGCUUUUUUUGAAGACUUGACCUCAGAUCAGGUAGGACUACCGCCUGAACUUAAGCAUAUCAAUAAGCGGAGGA
rnacentral:misc_RNA from 1 species